UACGGGGGGGGCAAGCGUUGUUCGGAAUUACUGGGCGUAAAGGGCUCGUAGGCGGCCAACUAAGUCAGACGUGAAAUCCCUCGGCUUAACCGGGGAACUGCGUCUGAUACUGGAUGGCUUGAGUUCGGGAGAGGGAUGCGGAAUUCCAGGUGUAGCGGUGAAAUGCGUAGAUAUCUGGAGGAACACCGGUGGCGAAGGCGGCAUCCUGGACCGACACUGACGCUGAGGAGCGAAAGCUAGGGGAGCAAACGGGG
rnacentral:rRNA from 1 species